rnacentral:RNase_P_RNA from 1 species
UCUGUAGGCCAAGCAGCCGCGGAGGUUCACCUUCGAGGAAAGUCCGGACAUCAAAGGGCAGGGUGGUCGGUAACGCCGACCCGGGGAAACCCGCGGGAAAGUGCCACAGAAAACACACCGCCGACGCUCGCGGCUUGAAGCUUCAGUCGCGGGCGGGCAAGGUUGAAAAGGUGCGGUAAGAGCGCACCGGCGUCGCGGUGACGCGGCGGCCAGGCAAACCCCACCCGAUGCAAGGCCAAGCCGGACCGUUUGCAGGUUGCCCGCCGAGGUCCAGGUCGGCCGCAUAGAUGGAUGGUUGCUCAAGACAGAAUCCGGCUUACCGGCUUGCUACGGGA